rnacentral:rRNA from 1 species
CACGGAGUUAGCCGGUGCUUAUUCUGCAGGUACCGUCAUCACGCUACACGUAGCGCUUAUUCUUCCCUGUCAAAAGCAGUUUACGACUCAGAAAGCCUUCUUCCUGCACGCGGCAUGGCUGGGUCAGACUCUCGUCCAUUGCCCAAUAUUCCCCUACUGCUGCCUCCCGUAGGAGUCGGGCCCGUAUCUCAGUGCCCGUGUGGGGGACCAGCCUCUCAGCUCCCCUAGUCAUCGUCGCCUUGGUAAGCCGUUACCUUACCAACUAGCUAAUCGACCCGCAACCUCAUCUACAACCAAUAAUCUUUAAUCAAGAGACGAUGCCGCCACCUGAUGUCAUGCGGUAUUAACUCCGCUUUCGGCGGCUACUCCCCGUAGUUGUACGGUAGUAUUAGUUACGUGUUACGCACCCGUGCGCACUAGUGUAUGCUACCUACCGUUCGACUUGCAUGUAUUAGG